UACGAAGGGUGCAAGCGUUACUCGGAAUUACUGGGCGUAAAGGGUCUGUAGGUGGCUUGCUAAGUCAGACGUGAAAUCCCUCAGCUUAACUGGGGAACUGCGUCUGAGACUGGCGAGCUUGAGGGCAGGAGAGGAACGCGGAAUUCCAGGUGUAGCGGUGAAAUGCGUAGAGAUGUGGAGGAACACCGAUGGCGAAGGCAGCCCCCUGGGCUGAGAUUGACGCUCAGGCACGAAAGCGUGGGGAGCAAACAGG
rnacentral:rRNA from 1 species